UUGAACCAUACUUUUUCUCAAUCAGGAAAAAAAAAAAAAAAGUUCCUAUUUUUAAUCCAAUUUAAUUAUUUUGAUUUGGGGAGGGGAAACAUGACAGCUCCAGUACUCAAGUACUAUAGGAAACUGGAACUCUUUCAAGCUGACAUGAAGGCUUAGAAAAGGUCUCUAUACCAUCCACAAACAAGCCUUUCACUGUCCUCUCAGCAAAAUUCUUAAGCCCUACUAAAUAGUAAAAAUAUCAAACACCUUUGAUGAAUAUUGCUACUUAUAAAAAUGAUUCAAUUAUACACAUUUCCUACUUCUUUUUGAAAUAUUUUCCUACUUUCCAAACAAUGACAGUUCUUCCUUUUAUACUCCCAGCUUCAUUUGUCCAACUUUCAAAUUUAGAUUCUAUAGUAGUAAUAGUAGUAGAAGAAAAAUCCACUGCAGUGGAAACUCAAGUGAGAGCAUUGAACAUGGUGAUAAUGGGUUAGCUAGUUUUCCUGAAAAGAAAAAAAUCUGUGAUAAACCCAGAAAUCAUCAAAAUCCCACCUCCUAGACCUCAUAGGAUAAUCCUGGUUUGACAUGGUCUGAGUGAAGGAAACCGAUAUAAGACGGCUUAUAGAAGAGUUGCGGAUCCAAAAAUUGCACUGACAGAGAAAGGAAAAGCUGAAGCUGAAGAAUGUGGGAAAAGAAUCAGAGAGAUGAUUGAGAAAGACAAUGUCCCAAAUUGGAAGGUCUACUUCUACGUAUCUCCCUAUAGAAGAGCACAUGUAACAUUUCAAAAGUCUUGUUCGAGAGCGCUCAAGAAUCGCUGGUCUGAGAGAAGAGCCUCUUCUAAGAGAGCAAGAUUUUGGAAAAGGGAAUUUUCAUGAUGAGGAACACUGAGAGCAGACAUUGAUAUUGGAAGUUUUCAGCCACUGGGUGAUGGAAACCCAAACAUGAACUCGGUGAUAGCCUCACAUGGUCUAAACACUUCUGACUGUUUCUAAUGAGGUGGUACAAAUAACAAAUGGACGGCUGAACAGUUUGAGAGACUUAGAAACUUGGGUAAUGGAAACAUGGUUGUUAUGGAGAAAGGUUAUAGUGGAAGGUAAUUUUCUUCUUCAUCUUGAUACUGAGUUAUCAGGAACAGGGCAAAAGCAUGCAUUAUAUCUCAAUUAGUACAAAAUCUUCAAAUAUUCAUACAAUUAUAUAUAUAUCAUAAAUGAGACGAGAGCUAAACUAUAUGUAUAAUGUUCUGUACACCAAAACUAGGUCCAAACAAUUUCUGUGGUAAACCAGACAAGCAGACAUGAUGAAUUAUCUCCUAUAUCUGUUAUUUUUCUUUUUGGGAGCUUAGGAAAUAUGAUUAUAGCUUACUAAUGCACCGCAGCGAAGAAGAGCUAAGAAAGUUUGGAUUGAUGGAUGACAUGCUGAUUGAUCAGGAUUGGCAAAAAUUUGCAAAACCUGGUUAGCUGAACUAUGAUUGCCCAAUGCUGAAAUCCAUCUUCACCCCCUUUGAUGAACAAUCUAAAAUGUACUACCAAUCCUGAAGAAGUGAUAUCUAAGUAACAAGGAUUUCUCA